CAUACUGUUAUAAUUCAUGUAACAAGAAGAAUAUAGAGAGUUUUUUUGUUUUUGGUCGAUUAAACAGGGCCAGACCCAAUUAACUCACUAAUCACCCAUUAGUUCUUCCCGGAGCUGGAAUUUAGCGUCGACGACAACUGUGUUGGAGAUGGACGUGAUGGUGUUGGGAUGGGCUUUCCUGAGACUCAUAGGUUUGUUGUAAACUUUUGUCAUUCGGAUGGAAUGACUGGAUCAUAGGGGGUAAGGUCGCUGCUGUGGUGGAGCCGUUGAAGAAUUGCCGAUGUUGUUGACCACGUUCAAGGAAUUGUCAGUAUAGAGAGAUAAGGAGGAUUUCCAGUUUCUUUGCUCUUGAUAGAUAGGGGAAUGGUAAUGCAUUUAGGUCGCUUGGCUAGCCGACGAGUGGAAAGCUUGAUUUUGACACUGUCAAUGAUGCAAGCACAGGAUUCUCAGGCCAGGUGGAAACCCUCUAAAAAGAGUUUGAUCUAGCAACACUCUGCUGGGUGUUUGUUAGAGGUGUAGAUGACUUUCAACAGUUCAAUACCAUAUUCUCAUAUGGUAACUAGCCAAGCGGCUCUAUAGCCAUGUAUUAAAAAAAACGCCUUCUAGCUAAGAUUGUACCGAUUGCUCAGAUGGGAGUAGCACAUGGGGUCGUCAUUCCUUAUCCCUUCUUUCGCAUUAAGUGGUUCCAAACGAACAGAAACACAAAACUUCUCUUCCCUCCCGGAAGAUCCUUGCAUCUGAUCCUCUCCAGCAGCCAUUUUCAUCCCUCAGCUCCCUUCCAUCAUCCUAGCACAAGAGAAACCAAGAAGAAAACAACAUCAAUGUCAUACAUAUAUAAAGAAAGAGAAAGAAUUAUGAGUUAUGAGACAGCUCAGUCAUUCAUUGUAGAUUAUUUUCUUUUACCGGUGAGCAAGAAGAUGAGAAUCUUAUAUUUGGUAAUUUAACUGCUGUAGAAAUAUUUUUAUUUCAUCAAUCAAUCGUAGUGAACAUAUUAGCUUAAGAACUUUUGGUUUAUUCCUUGUAUUUCUCUGAAAUUCAGUGUGGAAAAAUGUCUACUUAGGUCAUUUUCACCUUUUCAGAUUAUUCAUUAUUUGUAUUAUAUUGUUGAAUAAUGUCAUUAUAUAACACGAUAAUCUUUUGUGUUCUUUUCCUGAA